rnacentral:rRNA from 1 species
GACGAACGCUGGCGGCGUGCCUAACACAUGCAAGUCGAGCGAAUGAAGUUCCUUCGGGAACGGAUUUAGCGGCGGACGGGUGAGUAACACGUGGGCAACCUGCCUCAUAGAGGGGAAUAGCCUUCCGAAAGGGAGAUUAAUACCGCAUAAGAUUGUAGUACCGCAUGGUACAGCAAUUAAAGGAGCAAUCCGCUAUGAGAUGGGCCCGCGGCGCAUUAGCUAGUUGGUGAGGUAACGGCUCACCAAGGCGACGAUGCGUAGCCGACCUGAGAGGGUGAUCGGCGACAUUGGGACUGAGACACGGCCCAGACUCCUACGGGAGGCAGCAGUGGGGAAUAUUGCACAAUGGGGGAAACCCUGAUGCAGCAACGCCGCGUGAGUGAUGACGGCCUUCGGGUUGUAAAGCUCUGUCUUCAGGGACGAUAAUGACGGUACCUGAGGAGGAAGCCACGGCUAACUACGUG